UGCAGACGACGCGGGGGGGGUGCUAUACUUGCAAGUCGAGCGGACAGAUGGGAGCUUGCUCCUGAUGUUAGCGGCGGACGGGUGAGUAACACGUGGGUAACUGCCUGUAAGACUGGGAUAACUCCGGGAAACCGGGGCUAAUACCGGAUGGUUGUUUGAACCGCAUGGUUCAGACAUAAAAGGUGGCUUCGGCUACCACUUACAGAUGGACCCGCGGCGCAUUAGCUAGUUGGUGAGGUAACGGCUCACCAAGGCGACGAUGCGUAGCCGACCUGAGAGGGUGAUCGGCCACACUGGGACUGAGACACGGCCCAGACUCCUACGGGAGGCAGCAGUAGGGAAUCUUCCGCAAUGGACGAAAGUCUGACGGAGCAACGCCGCGUGAGUGAUGAAGGUUUUCGGAUCGUAAAGCUCUGUUGUUAGGGAAGAACAAGUGCCGUUCAAAUAGGGCGGCACCUUGACGGUACCUAACCAGAAAGCCACGGCUAACUACGUGCCAGCAGCCGCGGUAAUACGUAGGUGGCAAGCGUUGUCCGGAAUUAUUGGGCGUAAAGGGCUCGCAGGCGGUUUCUUAAGUCUGAUGUGAAAGCCCCCGGCUCAACCGGGGAGGGUCAUUGGAAACUGGGGAACUUGAGUGCAGAAGAGGAGAGUGGAAUUCCACGUGUAGCGGUGAAAUGCGUAGAGAUGUGGAGGAACACCAGUGGCGAAGGCGACUCUCUGGUCUGUAACUGACGCUGAGGAGCGAAAGCGUGGGGAGCGAACAGGAUUAGAUACCCUGGUAGUCCACGCCGUAAACGAUGAGUGCUAAGUGUUAGGGGGUUUCCGCCCCUUAGUGCUGCAGCUAACGCAUUAAGCACUCCGCCUGGGGAGUACGGUCGCAAGACUGAAACUCAAAGGAAUUGACGGGGGCCCGCACAAGCGGUGGAGCAUGUGGUUUAAUUCGAAGCAACGCGAAGAACCUUACCAGGUCUUGACAUCCUCUGACAAUCCUAGAGAUAGGACGUCCCCUUCGGGGGCAGAGUGACAGGUGGUGCA
rnacentral:rRNA from 2 species